rnacentral:misc_RNA from 1 species
GAAAUGCGAUACUUGGUGUGAAUUGCAGAAUUCAGUGAAUCAUCGAAUCUUUGAACGCACAUUGCGCCCGGCAGCAAUCUGCCGGGCAUGCCUGUCCGAGCGUCAUUUCUGCCCUCGAGCAGCGGUUCCCGUCACCUCCGGGGGACGGGGGGCCGCCCGCUCGGUGUUGGGGCGCUGCGGGCCGCUCGAGCCCGCAGGCCCCGAAAUGAAGUGGCGGUCCCGCCGCGGCGCCCCCUGCGUAGUAAGUCUCAGGACCUCGCAUCGGGCCCCGGCGUCGGCCAGCCGUCGAACCUGUCUCUCUAGAUGGUUUGACCUCGGAUCAGGUAGGGUUACCCGCUGAACUUAA